UCUUUUUGCUGCUGACAUCAUCCUUUAAUCGAUCAUAAUAGCUGUCUAUCAAUGUUGUUCCCGCUAAAAGCUCCACCAAUUUCCUUAAUUCCUAAAAUCAAAUUUAAAAUUCGAAUCCUCCUCAAAUUUAAAGCCUUAAUUUGUGCACCGGCCAUAUGUUUGCAAAUCAAUAUGUCUUCUUAAUUAUUGGAUUUCUCAGUACAUCGAUGGAAACCCAAUAGCUUCAUUUUCUCGAUCAAUCAGUUAUGCAGUUUGAAUCCAUUGAUUUUUAUCUUUGCUUACAACCAAUGAUUUUCUCUAUGGUGUUUGCCUACAUCUCGACGAAGAACAGGCCAAAGAAAGCUAAUUUUCUUUUUGUUUCCUACCCGGUGUAGGUCGAGGUCUCGCUGGUGUAUCCAUCUACGAUCUCCUAUAAACUCCAGCUAAGGUUUUGGUCUCUUUAGGCUCGCAUUUCCUUCCUUCUGUUUUCUUUCAAGCAAAUCCACUACCUGAAUCACAGUUGCUCUUCAUCACCAUUGUUGCAGGAACUUCAGUUCAAAACUUGUUUGAUUCCAUAGUUCCAACAUGGAAUGAAAUUAGUAGGAAAAUAGUUACAACUGUAGAGCUUCUAAAAGGUAUCUUCAUCUAAAUCACAAUGCUCCAUUAACAAUAACCUAAAAUAAUUUUUUAUUAUGGUACUAAUAAAAUAAUUUUUACCUUUUUGUUAUUGAAGGCUGACAACCUGUAUUCUGCAAUUUCUUCACUCAUAUAUUAUACUGUUAACUACAAUUGAAAGUUUAAAACCUAAUAGUAUCUAUCCAUGUUAUGAAUAUCUAUGCCUGUAUAGUUGUGUUCAGCUAAAUAAACUGGCAACAUUAGAUGGUUUGACUUGCCAAAGAAUCUAUUGGAGGUCAUAAAAUUGAGUGGGGUGCUAUCUUCAGGUUCAAUAGUCAUUUGGUUGUCACUUGCUAUUGGUGACUUGUCUUAUAUAUAAUUGAAAAACUUAUUUACUCAAUCGAUAUACUUCUAAACUUAUUUACCAAAAUAGGGUUAUUUGGUUAUUUAGUAAAAAAGAAAAAAAAGCACCGUGCUGGAAUGAUUACAAGACGACACCCAUCUCCCGUUAGACUUUCAUCUCCGGCAUUGACGCUACCGGCGACUCCACUCCAGCCGACGAUUCCAUCAAAGGUGGACCAUAUUCACUGGUCGAAUGAGACAAAAUGAAAUUUCUCAAGACAUGCCAUUGUUUAGGUGGGGCUAAUACUUGUGAAUGGAACAAUUGGACACCCAACUGUUUUGCUUGGACAAUAGUAAAAAGUAAUAAAAUGUAUAAACAAAAAAACAGUAAAAAUAAAAUAAAAGCUAAAACUUAAGAAAAUAUAAAUUUCUAAAACUAUACCUAUUUGGUAAAUAUUUUUAAAAAUAUACCUAUAUGGUAAAAAAAAAUUUCAAAUACACUUAUUUGGUCAAAAUUUCCAUGCACAUACACAUAUAGAGAGAAGAUAGAUAGAGGAAAAAAAUAGGUUUAGGUCAUUUUUGGUCACUUAACUUUUGGUUUUUUUCUCAUUUGGUCACUUAACUAUUUUUAAAUUUUAAAAGGUCAUCAAACUUUUGAUUUUCUACUCAUUUAGUCACUUAACUUUUGAUUUGGUCACAUUUAGUCACUCAACUUUUAGAUUUGUGCUCAUUUAGUCACCUAACUUUUAAAAUAUUGUUCAUUUAGUCAUUAAACUUUUAAAAAAAUUUAAAAGUUUAGUGACUAAAUGAACACAAUUUUAAAAGUUUGGUGACUAAUUGUGACCAAAACAAAAGUUAAGUGGCUAAAUAAGCACAAAGCCAAAAGUUUGAUGACCUUUUAAAACUUAAAAAGAGUUAAGUGACCAAAUGAGCACAAAAUCAAAAGUUAUGUGACCAAAAAUGACCUAAACCCAAAAAAAUACUUCCAGGAAAAUUAUAUAUAUAUAU